rnacentral:rRNA from 1 species
AUUGAACGCUGGCGGCAGGCUUAACACAUGCAAGUCGAGCGAGCGGCGGACGGGUGAGUAAUGUCUGGGAAACUGCCUGAUGGAGGGGGAUAACUACUGGAAACGGUAGCUAAUACCGCAUACCAUCAGAUGUGCCCAGAUGGGAUUGGCUAGUAGGUGGGGUAAUGGCUCACCUAGGCGACGAUCCCUAGCUGGUCUGAGAGGAUGACCGGCCACAUGGGAACUGAGACACGGCCCAGACUCCUACGGGAGGAAGCGUAGGGGAAUAUUGGACAAUGGGGGCAAGCCGGAUGCAGAAAUGCGGCGGAUGGGAAGAGGGCCUUGGGGUUGAAAGGCACUUUCAGAGAGGAGGCGUUACUCACAGAGGAAGCACCGGCUAACUACGUGCCAGCCGCCGCGGUAAUAC